AGAACACAAUAAGUUCGCUAAUUUGAAACCAUGGUUGCGACUGUGGCGUGAGUGGAGAAACGGGGAGAAUAAUGAAGAAAGUUACGGAUAAGGAGCAGAGUAGGGUUAAAGGGGGGAUGGUGUAGACAGAAAGGAUGGAAAGAGGUUGAUACCCUAAUUGUGUGGUCCUAGAGUAGGUUGAGAGAGUGCCACGCGCUUCGACGCACGAAAGGCGGAAAGAAUUUUGAGAGUGGCACGGGUUGGAAAAGGAGAUCGCAUGAGGGAGAUUUCAAGGGGGAUACACGGGGAAUCGCACACACGGUUGGUGAUAUGCCAAAUUGAAUGAAGCGUGGAAAACCUUACGUUCCCUAGGCAGGUCUGGAAUGCCGAAGAGAUUUGGCAGUAGGCGCAAGAGAGCCGGAACGCAGGUGCUGCAUGGCUGUCGUCAGCUUGUGUCGUGAGAUGUUGGGUUAAGUCCCGCAACGAGCGCAACCCUUGUCAUUAGUUGCUACGAAAGGGCACUCUAAUGAGACUCCCGGUGACAAACCGGAGGAAGGUGGGGAUGACGUCAAGUCCUCAUGGCCCUUAUGGGUAGGGCUUCACACGUCAUACAAUGGUCGGGACAGAGGGCAGCCAACCCGCGAGGGGGAGCCAAUCCCAGAAACCCGAUCGUAGUCCGGAUCGCAGUCUGCAACUCGACUGCGUGAAGUCGGAAUCGCUAGUAAUCGCGGAUCAGCAUGUCGCGGUGAAUACGUUCCCGGGUCUUGUACACACCGCCCGUCACACCAUGGGAGUGGGUUUUACCAGAAGUAGUUAGCCUAACCGCAAGGGGGGCGAUUACCACGGUAGGAUUCAUGACUGGGGUGAAGUCGUAACAAGGUAGCCGUAUCGGAAGG
rnacentral:rRNA from 1 species